GCUCUGGUGGCCUAGUUGUUUGAGCAUCUGCCUCAGAUACGGUAGGUCGUGGGUUCGAACCCCAGCCAAGUCA